CAUUCAUUUCGUUAAACUUCCAUCAUCCCCAUCACAAAAGAUAAAAUGCUCUUUCCUAACUUAUAUAAAUACCCUGCAUCUAUCCAUUGCUAUUUUUGUAUAUCAACAGUGGAAGAUUAAAAAAAAAAUAUAUUAAAAAAUACUUUAUGUGUUUAGCAAAAGUUAUUUUAACAGAGUCUCAGUGCCAAUUGAGAUUUAGUAAUCGAACAGACUAGGCCAAUCAGGACCCCUUUUGGUCCC
rnacentral:lncRNA from 1 species